UUGGGGUACUCAUCAAAUAUAUGCAAUGGAAGCAGCUUCCAAACUUGGUAAACUGAUGAUGGAUGCCCUUAUUUUCAUGCAUAUGGAAUUGAGAAGAUCCUAUGGACCUGAAGAGUGGUUGCCCUCAAUGGAUCUGAUGGGAUAAGCUUGAACUAGGCAGUGAAAGGACAUAGCUUGGUGGAUGGCUGUCAUACGGGAUGGUGAUGUUUGAAUAUUCACUCCUUGUAAACUUGAAAAUGUUGGAUGAUCUUCAAUUAUCGAGGUAAAUUUCCAUCGAAAGCUUGCAUAAUAAUCUUGCACAGACUGCCUCCAAGGCUUAGCUCGAGUGAAAGAAGGUGGUGUCGCAGGUUUGAGCCCCACACCAUGCAAAUUGAAUCCCGAAGUUUAAGUGGUGAGGGGUAGAGGGCGGGCCUAUUAUCCACUGAGUUUAGAAGGCUA